UCCCUGGUGGCUCAGAUGGUAAAGCGUCUGUCUACCAUGCGGGAGACCCAGGUUCAAUCCCUGGGUUGGGAA
rnacentral:tRNA from 1 species